GGUACGGUCCAUCCGCGGGGUUUCCGACCCCCGCCCGCAGCCGGCUCCCGGCGGUUCAAGUUUCUGCGCCCAGAGGACGCGGCCUUGGCCAAUCCCAGGGCUACAGGGCGCUUUUAAAAUGCAGCGCAUUUAUGGCGCGUCUACCGCCGGCAGGCGGGGUGGAGGGGUGUCCCUCCCCCGGAACCUGCAACGAGAUCAAACCCGCGCACGCGGCAGUGAGCGGCCCACUGCCAGGAGCGCGCGCCCGCGCAGCAGCUGAUGCCCCGUUUACAGUUGCUACGCCAUUCAUUCAGCUGUGUACUCAGCGCCUACUCGCCGCGGGGCCUGCUCCAGCCCCGGGGAAUUCUGCAGGGCACCGGACUGCCCUCUGCGAGGGACUUGGCGUCCUGGGAGCAGGAUGGGGAGAAGACAGACGAGCUAGAUCACAAUAAAACUUGUCUUAAGUGCUAUGCGGUGCAUUAAGUCGAGCUGCUGCCAUAGAAAGCAUAAUCAGUUACUUUAGAUCCAGCGGUCAGGAAGGUCGGGAGGCACAUCUAAGCUGAAGUCUGAUUGACAAGGUACAAAGAUAAGGGGAAGGGCAUUCCAGGUAGCUGGAACAGCCAGUACCAAGGCCCUAGGGCUGGCCUGUUAGGGGCCUGUUCCAAGGCCAGUGGGGCUGGGGGUUGGCCAGGGAAGAGGUGUGAAAGCUGAGGUCAGAGGUCAGAGAUUAGAGGGGCCAGAUCAUGUAUGAUUCCAAGGCAGCUGGGGAGGCAGUGGGGGUUUUAGCAGGGAAACAACAUGACCUCGUUUACCUUUUUAAGAGGCUCACCCUGACCCACAUGUGGAGAAGAGAUGGAGGGGAGUACACAGAGCGGUCCAGAUUCAAUAUCUCGUCUCCCACCCGUUUGCCACUCUCUCCAGACAGAUGGUCAGGAGAGGGUGGUGGGGAGAGGAUGGGCUGAGCACAGCUUCCAAGGUUAAACCCAGGGAUACUGAGGGUCUCCCAGGAUCUGCCCAAGUGAGCCAGCUCCUGAGGGGAGGGGAUAUCCUUCCCUCCGAGGCACUGCUCUGCUGGCCCAGCACAGCUCAGUUUGAGUUUAGAGAGGGAGGGGCUUUCAGCUUCUGCCUGGGGGAGCUGCAGGUCUGUCUUAACCCCCAGGAAGCCAGAUUAACUUCAAGGAGCUCCUUGCAGGCUCCCUGCAGAAUGAAGCCUGUGCAGAGUUGCUCCUGGGAGAUUGAAGUGUAAACGUUGGAUACA